GACGAACGCUGGCGGCGCGCCUAACACAUGCAAGUCGAACGAGCGAGAGAGAGCUUGCUUUCUCGAGCGAGUGGCGAACGGGUGAGUAACGCGUGAGGAACCUGCCUCAAAGAGGGGGACAACAGUUGGAAACGACUGCUAAUACCGCAUAAGCCCACGGCUCGGCAUCGAGCAGAGGGAAAAGGAGCAAUCCGCUUUGAGAUGGCCUCGCGUCCGAUUAGCUAGUUGGUGAGGUAACGGCCCACCAAGGCGACGAUCGGUAGCCGGACUGAGAGGUUGAACGGCCACAUUGGGACUGAGACACGGCCCAGACUCCUACGGGAGGCAGCAGUGGGGAAUAUUGCACAAUGGGGGAAACCCUGAUGCAGCGACGCCGCGUGGAGGAAGAAGGUCUUCGGAUUGUAAACUCCUGUUGUUGGGAAGAUAAUGACGGUACCCAACAAGGAAGUGACGGCUAACGUACGUG
rnacentral:rRNA from 1 species